rnacentral:rRNA from 1 species
UCAGUCAAAGAGGGUAAAAACCCCGUAGACGAAAUGUGGAAGACACCUAGGAGGAUCCUGAGUACGGCGGAACACGAGAAAUUCCGUCGGAAUCCGGGAGGACCAUCUCCCAAGGCUAAAUACUCCCUAGUGACCGAUAGUGAACCAGUACCGUGAGGGAAAGGUGAAAAGCACCCCGGAAGGGGAGUGAAAUAGAACCUGAAACCGUGUGCCUACAACAAGUCAAAGCCCGUUAAUGGGUGAUGGCGUGCCUUUUGUAGAAUGAACCGGCGAGUUACGAUUGCAUGCGAGGUUAAGUUGAAGAGACGGAGCCGCAGCGAAAGCGAGUCUGAAUAGGGCGUUUGAGUAUGUAGUCGUAGACCCGAAACCAUGUGAUCUACCCAUGUCCAGGUUGAAGGUGCGGUAAAACGCACUGGAGGACCGAACCCACGUACGUUGAAAAGUGCGGGGAUGAGGUGUGGGUAGCGGAGAAAUUCCAAACGAACUUGGAGAUAGCUGGUUCUCUCCGAAAUAGCUUUAGGGCUAGCCUCGGAAUUGAGAAUGAUGGAGGUAGAGCACUGUUUGGACUAGGGGCCCAUCUCGGGUUACCGAAUUCAGAUAAACUCCGAAUGCCAUUCAUUCAUAUCCGGGAGUCAGACUGUGAGUGAUAAGAUCCAUAGUCGAAAGGGAAACAGCCCAGACCACCAGCUAAGGUCCCAAAAUAUAUGUUAAGUGGAAAAGGAUGUGGGGUUGCACAGACAACUAGGAUGUUGGCUUAGAAGCAGCCACCAUUUAAAGAGUGCGUAAUAGCUCACUAGUCGAGUGACCCUGCGCCGAAAAUGUACCGGGGCUAAACAUAUUACCGAAGCUGUGGAGUACACCUUUAGGUGUAUUGGUAGGAGAGCGUUCUAAGG